rnacentral:lncRNA from 1 species
UUAAUUCACUUUAUGUGAAGGAACAACACAUUAGUUUAAAGUCUGCAUAUGCUGAAUGGCAAUUAUCAUUCUUAGCUCUUCCAUCUGCCAGGGUUAAGUCCCAAGUCUGAAAACACGUUCAGAGUCGUGUCACAAACUAAGUAACAAUUGCUUCUACAACUAUCAUUUAACAUUUGUUGGCCUGAAGAAUAUAGAGUCUUUGUGCAAGAUAAUUUGCAGUCUAACCUGGACUGUUAAGUGACAUGUAAGGGAGAAGUUAAACAUUUGGGAAUGGGCAGCUGAAUGUGUCGUAUUUGGGAAUGUCCGGAAGGAAACUUUGGCAGUUGUUGAUCAGCAGGUUGCCUCUGUGAUGCUUUGCAGUUCACAACUUUUAAAAGAAGACAAGUCAUAUGCAGCAAGAACCCAAAGCCCUGUGUGUUUUGCUGUCAGCUCAAUGUGUUGAAGAAGAAGAAGAUAGCUGGGUUGUUUGGAUUAAAUCCUCUUUGCUUUCCAAGGCAUGCCAGAUUGCCUACAUUUGGGUUGAUGCAGUUCAAGCAGCAUCCAGCUUUCUCUUGAGGCAUUAAGAAAA